GUUAGGAAUAUUGGACAAUGGGCGCAAGCCUGAUCCAGCCAUGCCGCGUGAGUGAUGAAGGCCUUCGGGUUGUAAAGCUCUUUAGCCGAUGAUUAUAAUGACUGUAGUCGGAAAAUAAGCCCCGGCUAACUUCGUGCCAGCAGCCGCGGUAAUACGAAGGGGGCGAGCGUUAUUCGGAAUCACUGGGCGUAAAGCGUGCGUAGGCGGCUUUGCAAGUUGGGAGUGAAAGCCCAGGGCUCAACCCUGGAAUUGCUCUCAAAACUGGAAGGCUCGAAUUCGGGAGAGGAUAGCGGAAUUGUCAGUGUAGCAGUGAAAUGCGUAGAUAUUGACAGGAACACCAGUGGCGUAAGCGGCUAUCUGGACCGAUAUUGACGCUGAGGCACGAAAGCGUGGGGAUCAAACAGGAUUAGAAACCCUGGUAGUCC
rnacentral:rRNA from 1 species